GUAGGGAAUAUUGCGCAAUGGGGGAAACCCUGACGCAGCGACGCCGCGUGAGUGAUGAAGGCCUUCGGGUCGUAAAGCCCUGUUGCAGGGGAAUAAAAAAAUGAAGGUACCCUGUGAGGAAGGAUCGGCUAACUUCGUGCCAGCAGCCGCGGUAAGACGAGGGAUCCUAGCGUUGCUCGGAAUCAUUGGGCGUAAUGAGGGCGUAGGUGGCGUGGUAAGUCAGGUGUGAAAGCCCAGGGCUCAACCCUGGAAGUGCAUUUGAUACUGCUGAGCUUGAGUGUCGGAGAGGUUACCGGAAUACCUGGUGUAGUGGUGAAAUACGUAGAUAUCAGGUGGAACACCGGAGGCGAAGGCGGGUAACUGGACGAACACUGACACUGAGGCCCGAAAGCGUGGGGAACAAACAGGAUUAGAAACCCCGGUAGUCC
rnacentral:rRNA from 1 species